rnacentral:tRNA from 1 species
GGCCCGGUGGCAGAGUGGUCAUGCAGAGGACUGCAAAUCCUCGUACGUCGGUUCGAUUCCGGCCCGGGCCUCCA